rnacentral:rRNA from 1 species
UACAGAGGUCUCAAGCGUUGUUCGGAUUCAUUGGGCGUAAAGGGUGCGUAGGUGGCGCCGUAAGUCAGGUGUGAAAUUUCGGAGCUUAACUCCGAAACUGCAUUUGAUACUGCGGUGCUUGAGGACUGGAGAGGAGACUGGAAUUUACGGUGUAGCAGUGAAAUGCGUAGAGAUCGUAAGGAAGACCAGUGGCGAAGGCGGGUCUCUGGACAGUUCCUGACACUGAGCACGAAGGCCAGGGGAGCAAACGGG